ACUAUUUUCCGAUUUGUUAAAAGGCCUUGAUCAUCGUAACCCACACUGAUAUUGUCAUGAUUUGGGUUUUGUUUCUAGUUGUUUCCUGUCGUCACGCCAUGUCCUGUUUUAUUUUUAAACUUCCUGUUCUCUGUCAGCUGUCACUUACCUGUUCCCAGUAUCCACACCUGUCAGUAAUUACGUAAUCACUCUGUGUAUUUAGCCACCACCUGUUCCCAUAGUCCUUUGCCAGAUUGUCGAGUUUCUUUAGUUCCACACUCCGUUCCACCGUGUCGUGUCUAGUUCCCUCGUGUUUGACCCUGAUUACCUUGACCGCGUAUCCUGCCUGAUCCUUGUUUGUACCGUCGCCUGUGAAAAGAACCUGGACUAACUAUCUGACCGUGAGUUUGCCUUAUCCCUGCCUGUACUUUUGCCGAGCCCUUUUUGUGUAUGACCUGGACCGCCUGACUCUGCCUUAUCAAAUAAACCCGUGUUUUACAAUCAUCAUCGCGCCUCUGUGCUGUGCAUGUGGGACCGCCUGACUCUGCCUUAUCAAAUAAACCCGUGUUUUACAAUCAUCAUCGCGCCUCUGUGCUGUGCAUGUGGGUCCGACGCCUGCCCCAAGUCUGACAGAUAUACUUUUAUCAUCAGCCCCUCCCUCCACAGUCUGUCAUAUGCUUACUAACCCUGGAUCCUUCCCUGGUUAACAAAUAGGCACUAUUACUGACUUUUUCCACUCCUUUCCUAUUAUACAGUACAUCUCUAAUAACAUACCCUUCCCUUUCUCCCCUAAAUUCUAUAACAUGCUAUAGCUCACUUGAUCCUUCGCCACAUCUUUACAUUUCCUUAACGCUCUUUCCAGCUCUGCUCCACUAAAGUCCUUGUCCAUUACAUUCCACUCCUUUCUAUCCCCUCUUAGUUCUACUGUGUUUUGGUUUACCGUGUCCCUUCUUCUUCACUACUUAGACUAUCUAAGCUAUGAACUUUACUUAAAGCCUGUUUCAUAACCUGUGCUUUAAUUUUAUCCUCUACCAGCAAUUUUCCCUCACUCUUCAUUAUUGGAUAUCCAUAUUUCCUCCUCUUCCCAUCCAAACUCCUAAUUACAUUCCAAACCUUUCUUAAUGACGUGUAUUUCCCUAGUGACUCACAAAACGUCUGUCAAUGCUCUCUUUUUGCAUUUUUAAUAGUUUUCCUCACCACUUCCACCUUCCUCUUAUACUCCAACAGAUGUUCAAAAUUAUUUUUUAACAGUCUUAA
rnacentral:lncRNA from 1 species